GACGAACGCUGGCGGCGUGCUUAACACAUGCAAGUCGAACGGUGAAGCUCCAGCUUGCUGGAGUAGAUCAGUGGCGAACGGGUGAGAAACACGUGAGCAACCUGCCCCUGACUCUGGAAUAAGCGCUGGAAACGGCGUCUAAUACUGGAUACGAGAAGGGUCCGCAUGGGCACUUUCUGGGAAGUUUUUCGGUUGGGGAUGGGCUCGCGGCCUAUCAGCUUGUUGGUGAGGUAAUGGCUCACCAAGGCGACGACGGGUAGCCGGCCUGAGAGGGCGACCGGCCACACUGGGACUGAGACACGGCCCAGACUCCUACGGGAGGCAGCAGUGGGGAAUAUUGCACAAUGGGCGAAAGCCUGAUGCAGCGACGCCGCGUGAGGGAUGACGGCCUUCGGGUUGUAAACCUCUUUCAGCAGGGAAGAAGCGAAAGUGACGGUACCUGCAGAAGAAGCACCGGCUAACUACGUG
rnacentral:rRNA from 1 species